rnacentral:rRNA from 2 species
GGUGAUCAGUGGCGAACGGGUGAGUAACACGUGAGCAACCUGCCCCUGGCUCUGGGACAACCACUGGAAACGGUGGCUAAUACCGGAUACGACCUGCACAGGCAUCUGUUGUGGGUGGAAAGUUUUUUCGGCUGGGGAUGGGCUCGCGGCCUAUCAGCUUGUUGGUGGGGUGAUGGCCUACCAAGGCGACGACGGGUAGCCGGCCUGAGAGGGCGACCGGCCACACUGGGACUGAGACACGGCCCAGACUCCUACGGGAGGCAGCAGUGGGGAAUAUUGCACAAUGGGCGCAAGCCUGAUGCAGCGACGCCGCGUGAGGGAUGACGGCCUUCGGGUUGUAAACCUCUUUCAGCUUCGAAGAAGCCACGCUUUUUGGUGUGGUGACGGUAGGAGCAGAAGAAGCACCGGCUAACUACGUGCCAGCAGCCGCGGUAAUACGUAGGGUGCAAGCGUUGUCCGGAAUUAUUGGGCGUAAAGAGCUCGUAGGCGGUGUGUCGCGUCUGCUGUGAAAACUCAGGGCUCAACUCUGAGCUUGCAGUGGGUACGGGCACACUAGAGUGCUGUAGGGGAGACUGGAAUUCCUGGUGUAGCGGUGAAAUGCGCAGAUAUCAGGAGGAACACCGGUGGCGAAGGCGGGUCUCUGGGCAGUUACUGACGCUGAGGAGCGAAAGCAUGGGGAGCGAACAGGAUUAGAUACCCU